rnacentral:ncRNA from 1 species
UAAAUAAAAUAAAGUCAUUACCAAGUACCUUGGUAGAUGCUGAUUCAUUAUGAUUUCUGCCUAGUACUCCAUGUGUCAAGGUAAAGAAAUUCAGUGAAACUUAGGUGGCAAACAAUGGGCGUAUCUAUGACUUUCUUAUUAGAGUCAAGUGCCUUGUUAUCUGACUAGUGAUACAUAGAAAUGGAUAAA